rnacentral:rRNA from 1 species
AGGGCGGGGGUGCUAUACAUGCAAGUCGAACGCUUCUUUCCUCCCGAGUGCUUGCACUCAAUUGGAAAGAGGAGUGGCGGACGGGUGAGUAACACGUGGGUAACCUACCCAUCAGAGGGGGAUAACACUUGGAAACAGGUGCUAAUACCGCAUAACAGUUUAUGCCGCAUGGCAUAAGAGUGAAAGGCGCUUUCGGGUGUCGCUGAUGGAUGGACCCGCGGUGCAUUAGCUAGUUGGUGAGGUAACGGCUCACCAAGGCCACGAUGCAUAGCCGACCUGAGAGGGUGAUCGGCCACACUGGGACUGAGACACGGCCCAGACUCCUACGGGAGGCAGCAGUAGGGAAUCUUCGGCAAUGGACGAAAGUCUGACCGAGCAACGCCGCGUGAGUGAAGAAGGUUUUCGGAUCGUAAAACUCUGUUGUUAGAGAAGAACAAGGACGUUAGUAACUGAACGUCCCCUGACGGUAUCUAACCAGAAAGCCACGGCUAACUACGUGCCAGCAGCCGCGGUAAUACGUAGGUGGCAAGCGUUGUCCGGAUUUAUUGGGCGUAAAGCGAGCGCAGGCGGUUUCUUAAGUCUGAUGUGAAAGCCCCCGGCUCAACCGGGGAGGGUCAUUGGAAACUGGGAGACUUGAGUGCAGAAGAGGAGAGUGGAAUUCCAUGUGUAGCGGUGAAAUGCGUAGAUAUAUGGAGGAACACCAGUGGCGAAGGCGGCUCUCUGGUCUGUAACUGACGCUGAGGCUCGAAAGCGUGGGGAGCAAACAGGAUUAGAUACCCUGGUAGUCCACGCCGUAAACGAUGAGUGCUAAGUGUUGGAGGGUUUCCGCCCUUCAGUGCUGCAGCAAACGCAUUAAGCACUCCGCCUGGGGAGUACGACCGCAAGGUUGAAACUCAAAGGAAUUGACGGGGGCCCGCACAAGCGGUGGAGCAUGUGGUUAAUUCGAAGCAACGCGAGAACCUUACAGGUCUUGACUCUUUGACACUCUAGAAUAAAGUUUCCUUCGGGACAAGUGAAGGUGUGCUGUUGCCUCACUCGGGCCGGAAAGUGGGUAAUCCCCACAAGGCACCUUUUGUAUUGCCCUUUAUUGGGCCUUCCGAA